UACGAGGGAUCCUAGCGUUGUUCGGAAUUAUUGGGCGUAAAGCGUGUGUAGGCGGCUUUGCAAGUCAGUUGUGAAAUCCCCGGGCUCAACCCGGGAAGUGCUUCUGAUACUGCAUAGCUUGAGUACUGGAGAGGAUAGUGGAAUUCCAGGUGUAGUGGUGAAAUACGUAGAUAUCUGGAGGAACACCGGUGGCGAAGGCGGCUAUCUGGCCAUGUACUGACGCUGAGACACGAAAGCGUGGGGAGCAAACAGG
rnacentral:rRNA from 1 species